GCAGGACUACCACUAACUCAGUUGAAAGUUGACCCCAGGAGUUCAAUUUCUCAUUGAGGCUUAGAUGCCGUCAAUGUUUUACCUAUCUGUCAUAAAAAGGGUAUGGAUUUCCAAGAUAUGGCUGCCUCAAUAGAUAGGAUCAGGGUUUUGGACUCCAGCAGGACAAACCUAUAAGAAUCUUGUCCAAUUACUCCCUGGCAUACACAAUUUAUAAUUAUAAUAGUAUGAAACUUGAGACAUCAAUGGUUCAUGUUCACAGGAUUCCACUGCACAUAUGUUGGUCAUCGCUUUGUCUUCUACAGCAUUUGUGGAAAUUAGGUCAAAUGGCUGCUCACUUUCUAUAAGCCAGGAUGAACAGAAUACGGAUGAUCAAGAAGCACAACUGGUGCUUUUGAAGAAGACGGUCGAUCAAGAACCACAACUGGUGCUUUUGAAGAAGACGGUCGAUCAAGAACCACAACUGGUGCUGACAUCCAAUCUGCAUGUUGAUCUUGAUCAAGCAAAGCAGAUUUUUGUUGUUUCGGUGAUUCUUCGACCUCUUGUUCAGAUUUCGUGUUCUCGGUAACUUUUUCUUGUGGGUCACCCUGGUAUGAUUCAUCCGAAUCAGAUUCGAAGUCGAAGGUGCUGCAAAGGCUUUCCAAGUAAUCGGAAUUUGUGCACAAAUAAAAUGUUAUCCGCGAA